rnacentral:lncRNA from 1 species
GAUUGAGUUAUGAAAGCUAGUAAAAAGUUUCUAAGAGCCAUUACUACAUGUGGUUGUUAAAAAGAAACAGCUCCCACUAAACACAUCAAACAUGAUAGGAGAUCAGCCAAUACGGCAGAUUGAGCACCUUCAUAAAGAACAAAUUUGAAUAGUCAAGAGUAAAGCCUGCGAAACAACAAUGACCAAGACCAAUAUAUAAAAGCUGCUAGCAACCUCCUAGUCUUGCCUAUUGCAUCUUUCUCAAACCAUGCUUCACCAGCAUUUAACAGAUCUUCACCAAAUAAAAUACUGCAAAUGAGUUAACACUAUCAUCUAAAAAGUUCAUCUUUCAUAAGCAUGCUAGCAUUGCAAAUCUCAUAAACAAUUUAGCCAAUACAGUGCUAUAAGGUUAAGACUUUGCAUUUUGAUAGGUGAUGCACAUAAUGCAUGGGCAACAUCAAGGUGCCACUAUUGCUAACCUAAGUAGUUAAAAAUUUUAGCUAUCUAUAAUGGUUUCAAAAAUAAGCAGAUGAGACGAUAGAGCAAUACAAAAGCUCAAUAUAUAAAACACUGACAUGUAUCAGACUACGAUCUUAGAUAUUUAGCAACAGAAAUUAGAAAUAGGUAAUUGUUAUGUUGAUAAAAAAUAUGAUAACACAUAACAUAAAGCGCAGGAGAAAUGUCACAAUGCUAUCAUUGCUUCCUUGUAUUCUUUAAGAUUUGGAGUGCUUCCAAUAGCUUUCGAGAGCAAGUCUGUGAGUUGAUAUACCUCUAAGGAAGCUGGGUAUAUGAAAACAUGUGUGCAUUUG